rnacentral:rRNA from 1 species
AAUGAAUUUUUUAAUGGCCGCAGUAUUUUGACUGUGCAAAGGUAGCAUAAUCAUUAGUUUCUUAAUUAGAAACUGGAAUGAAAGGUUGAACGAGAAAAUAACUGUCUCUUUAUAGAUUUUUUAGAAAUUUAUUUUUAAGUUAAAAAGCUUAAAUAAAAUUUAAAGACGAGAAGACCCUAUAGAGUUUUAUAAAUUAAUUUAAAAAUUUUUAGUUAGAAUUUUAUAAUUUUUUUAGAUUAAUUUAUUUGAUUGGGGUGAUUAAAAAAUUUAAUAAACUUUUACAAGUUUUUACAUUAAUUUAUGAAUUUUUGAUCCAUUAUUUUAUGAUUAUAAGAUUAAAUUACCUUAGGGAUAACAGCGUAAUUUCUUUGAAGAGUUCUAAUCAAUAAAGAAGUUUGCGACCUCGAUGUUGGAUUAAAAUAAAAUUUUGGUGUAGAAGCUAAAAAUUUUAGGUCUGUUCGACCUUUAAAAUUUUACAUGAUCUGAGUUUAAACCGGUGUGAGCCAGGUUGGUUUCUAUCUUAAUUUAAUAUUGGUAUUUUAGUACGAAAGGACCAAAUAUCAGUAAAAUUUAU